rnacentral:rRNA from 1 species
UGGGGAAUAUUGGACAAUGGGGGGAACCCUGAUCCAGCCAUGCCGCGUGUGUGAAGAAGGCCUUAUGGUUGUAAAGCACUUUAAGCGAGGAGGAGGCUCUUUUGGUUAAUACCCAAGAUGAGUGGACGUUACUCGCAGAAUAAGCACCGGCUAACUCUGUGCCAGCAGCCGCGGUAAUACAGAGGGUGCGAGCGUUAAUCGGAUUUACUGGGCGUAAAGCGUGCGUAGGCGGCUUUUUAAGUCGGAUGUGAAAUCCCCGAGCUUAACUUGGGAAUUGCAUUCGAUACUGGGAAGCUAGAGUAUGGGAGAGGAUGGUAGAAUUCCAGGUGUAGCGGUGAAAUGCGUAGAGAUCUGGAGGAAUACCGAUGGCGAAGGCAGCCAUCUGGCCUAAUACUGACGCUGAGGUACGAAAGCAUGGGGAGCAAACAGGAUUAGAUACCCUGGCAGUCCAUGCCGUAAACGAUGUCUACUAGCCGUUGGGGUCUUUGAGACUUUAGUGGCGCAGCUAACGCGAUAAGUAGACCGCCUGGGGAGUACGGUCGCAAGACUAAAA